GGCCCCCAAAAUGAAAAAUGAAUACCAAAACAAGCUGGAUCAGAUAUUUAUAUUACAGAGCAGAGCUAAUAAUGGAAAAUGCAACCAAACAAGCUUCCAUACAGAAUUUGACUAUCCCACAAUGGUGCAACCAGAGAGAAGCUUUUCAUAAAUAACUUGCCAUCACUCCAACGGCAAAGCAAGAAAAGACCAUAAAAUAACUCAGAUUCAUCACAGACAAGCACAGUUGUUGACGAUUUAACACCAAAAACCAUAUCAAAUCAAGGCAUCAGU
rnacentral:misc_RNA from 1 species